UACGUAGGGAGCAAGCGUUGUCCGGAAUCAUUGGGCGUAAAGCGCGCGUAGGCGGCCCUGUAAGUCCGCUGUGAAAGUCAAAGGCUCAACCUUUGAAAGCCGGUGGAUACUGCAGGGCUAGAGUCCGGAAGAGGCGAGUGGAAUUCCUGGUGUAGCGGUGGAAUGCGCAGAUAUCAGGAGGAACACCAAUAGCGAAGGCAGCUCGCUGGGACGGUACUGACGCUAAGGCGCGAAAGCGUGGGGAGCGAACGAGG
rnacentral:rRNA from 1 species